GCAACAUAUGUGAUUAGCUAACAUUUAAAUUCCCAAGUAGCAUUGUAUUUUCUCUCGCUUCAGCUCAAAUAAUGGCCGCCAUUGAUUUUAAUAAAAUUUGUGUUAUGUUUUUUUUAUGAUUAUUAUUUUUAAAAUGUGUUUGUUUGCUUACAUCGAUGCAUGCUUCAAAAUAUGUACAUAUGGAGGACGCAUUCGAAAAGUGCCCUCCAUGCACUGUUUCACAUACUUUUGAUUUGGGACUCGUACCCACGACCCUCCCCCCUGCUACAAUUUGCCACGGUAUUAUGGAUUAUAGAUAAACACCCCAUUGAGUCAAACAUUUUUUUUUUUUUUUCAUUUUUUUUUUUUUGCCCAGUGGUUUUCCUGAUAAUUUUCAAGUAGAGUUAUUAAUGUUUUCCUGUCGUUUGCUGUGACUUCUACGAUCUAUUGCGGUUUUCUUAAUAUAUACUGUUUAUUCUAACUGUUAUGUGACGGAUGUAUGGUUUUGUCUGAAGACAAUUUCUGAACAUUCUUAUUAAACGUUCUGUGGUGCUAAGCUUUUUUCUUCAACACCAAGGGGCUGAAUCCCCUAUGGCACCCUAUUCCCUAUAUAGGGCACUACUUUGAUCACUACUAGAUCCCUGGUUAAAGGUUUUUGUAUGUUAACUAGACAAGUCAGUUAAGGAAAAAUUCUUAUUUUCAACGACGGCCUAGGAACAGCGGGUUAAACUGCCUUGUUCAGGGGGGGGGCAGAACGACAGAUUUUUGUUGUACCUUGUCAGCUCAGGGAUUUGAUUUUGCAACCUUUGCGGUUACUAGUCCAACGCUCUAACCACUGGGCUACCCUGCCGCCCCAAGGUAGUGCACUAUAUAGGCAAUAGGGUGCCAUAGGGCACAGAACCUUGGAGAUGGACCUCCAAGACUGCCUUAAAAUCUUACAACAAGUUACACGGUAGCAUGGCGGGACAUGAUUUUACCAUCGUCAGUAGUACAAUCCAACACCUCUGUCCCUUUAAACCCCACCAAAUACACACUGCCGCCUUACGAAAGCUUCUGCUGAACUGCAUCAGUGAAACUAUAGUAUCUAAUCUAGUUCUCUGGAUAAGAGCGUCUGCUAAAAUGUUUCAAACCCCUGUGAUGUGAUGAUCGUUGUACUGUUGUAAUUAUGUUUAUUCUCCUCUCUGCUAAUCUCAGUUUAGAGUGUCAGUGUAUGUUUUUUGUUGAAAGGAAACAUGAGGUGUGAUUACAGGUAAAUGAUGUUUUAUUGUCAAGGGCCUACUGUACUGAGUCUAUUCUGGGACCCAAAUGGCACUCUAUUCCCUAUAUAGUGGACUAUUACCUAAUCUGGAAAAUUUGACCUUAGGCAACACAGAGACUAGGGUCUGUUUUCAAUGAUAGACUUACGUCAAUUAAUGUCUACGUCAAUGGGGGGGGGACUUUUGACCAGAGCCCUACUGUGUUUGGCUAGUAAAUAAGUCUUGAAAACUUGACCCUAGGCAACACAGGGACUUGGGUCUGGCUUCAAUUAUGGAUUAUUUUGGCAUUGAGGAACUACAUCACUGGAGGGGGGGAUUUCUGGGGACCAAUCAAAUCACAAGGCUGACAUGAGUCUAGAGCGUCUCGAUUCGAAACCAAAGUUUGCAGCGGUUUUAUCGAAGGGUAGUUGAUGCAAACUAGCCACUUGUGAAAUGCACCCGUUAAAAAUAACCUACAAGUCCUCCAUCUUUGCUAGUUCUGAUUUAUAUUUUAGUCAAGAGUAGUGACGUAGGUAGUGACGUAGUGCCUCUAUGCUACGUAGGUAGUGACGUAGUGCCUCUAUGCUACGUAGGUAGUGACGUAGUGCCUCUAUGCUACGUAGGUAGUGACAUAGUUCCUCUAUGCUACGUAGGUAGUGACAUAGGUCCUCUAUGACUAAAGAGUCCAUCAUUGAAACCAAAACCUGGUUAUGGUGUUACCCAGGUUCGGGUUUUCAAGACUAUCUACUAGCCGUACAAAGUAUGGCUCUGGUCGAAAUAAUAACAACAUAUCGUCAAAAGUAAUGCACUAUUUAAUAAUAACAAUAUAUAUCAUUUAGCAGACUUUUUUAAAUAUUUUUUUUUAUAUCCAAAGCGACUUAGUUAUGUGUGCGUACAUUUUACAUUACGGGUGGUCCCGAGAAUGGAUCCCACUACCCACCAGGCAUUGCACUUCCUUUCCAACUGAGCUACAGAAAGGACCUAUAACUUCAUAGGAAUAUUCUAGACAUCUCCUACGGAACAGGGAAGCAUUUUGGGAGUCACAGUACUAGCCGAUGUGAGAUUACGAUGCCUGGAUACGAAAGACUUUCCGUGUGUUAAAUCUGAUUAUUAUUAAAAUAUCUUGGUGGUUUGACGAAACG
rnacentral:lncRNA from 1 species